rnacentral:tRNA from 1 species
GCCGAGGUCGCAUAACCUGGUAUUGCGCAGGAUUGCUAAUCCUGUCCCUUCGGGGGUUGUGGGUUCAAAUCAGGUGCGAAAUCACCUGGCACUUUAGGCGGGUUCGCUAAUCGCUCACCCACCGGAUUUGCUGGCUUUCCUCCUAUGAAAGUCCCACCCUCGGCG